rnacentral:tRNA from 1 species
UUCCUGGUGGUCCAGUGCUUAGGACUCAGCAUUUUCACUGCUGUGGCCCAAGGUUCAAUCCCUGGUUGGCAAA